UACGGAGGGUGCAAGCGUUAAUCGGAAUUAUUGGGCGUAAAGGGCUCGUAGGCGGUCUGUCACGUCGGGAGUGAAAACUCAGGGCUUAACCCUGAGCCUGCUUCCGAUACGGGCAGACUAGAGGUAUGCAGGGGAGAACGGAAUUCCUGGUGUAGCGGUGAAAUGCGCAGAUAUCAGGAGGAACACCGGUGGCGAAGGCGGUUCUCUGGGCAUUACCUGACGCUGAGGAGCGAAAGUGUGGGGAGCGAACAGG
rnacentral:rRNA from 1 species